GACGAACGCUGGCGGCGUGCCUAAUACAUGCAAGUAGAACGCUGAAGGAGGAGCUUGCUUCUCUGGAUGAGUUGCGAACGGGUGAGUAACGCGUAGGUAACCUGCCUGGUAGCGGGGGAUAACUAUUGGAAACGAUAGCUAAUACCGCAUAAGAGUAGAUGUUGCAUGACAUUUGCUUAAAAGGUGCAAUUGCAUCACUACCAGAUGGACCUGCGUUGUAUUAGCUAGUUGGUGGGGUAACGGCUCACCAAGGCGACGAUACAUAGCCGACCUGAGAGGGUGAUCGGCCACACUGGGACUGAGACACGGCCCAGACUCCUACGGGAGGCAGCAGUAGGGAAUCUUCGGCAAUGGACGGAAGUCUGACCGAGCUACGCCGCGUGAGUGAAGAAGGUUUUCGGAUCGUAAAGCUCUGUUGUAAGAGAAGAACGAGUGUGAGAGUGGAAAGUUCACACUGUGACGGUAUCUUACCAGAAAGGGACGGCUAACUACGUG
rnacentral:rRNA from 1 species